rnacentral:rRNA from 1 species
GACGAACGCUGGCGGCGUGCUUAACACAUGCAAGUCGAACGGAAAGGCCCUGCCUUUGUAGGGUGCUCGAGUGGCGAACGGGUGAGUAACACGUGAGUAACCUGCCCUUGACUUUGGGAUAACUUCAGGAAACUGGGGCUAAUACCGGAUAGGAGCUCCUGCUGCAUGGUGGGGGUUGGAAAGGUUCGGCGGUUGGGGAUGUACUCGCGGCUUAUCAGCUUGUUGGUGGGGUAGUGGCUGACCAAGGCUUUGACGGGUAGCCGGCCUGAGAGGGUGACCGGCCACAUUGGGACUGAGAUACGGCCCAGACUCCUACGGGAGGCAGCAGUGGGGAAUAGUGCACAGUGGGCGGAAGCCUGAUGCGGCCCCGCCGCGUGCGGGAUGACGGCCUUCGGGUUGUAAACCGCUUUCGCCUGUGACGAAGCGUGAGUGACGGUAAUGGGUAAAGAAGCACCGGCUAACUACGUG